GCCACAUCACAUUGAAAUACCGAUUCCUGUACAAUCACUGAAGUUAAGCAACGUGGAGCCUGGUCAGUACCUAUGUGGCUGACCGCUUGGGAAUACCAGGUGUUGUAA